UACGGAGGGUGCAAGCGUUAUCCGGAUUUACUGGGUUUAAAGGGUGCGCAGGCGGAUAUGUAAGUCAGUGGUGAAAUCUCAAGGCUUAACCUGGAAAUUGCCGUUGAUACUAUAUAUCUUGAAUGCUGUGGAGGUAAGCGGAAUAUGUCAUGUAGCGGUGAAAUGCUUAGAUAUGACAUAGAACACCUAUUGCGAAGGCAGCUUACUACGCAGAUAUUGACGCUCAUGCACGAAAGCGUGGGGAUCAAACAGG
rnacentral:rRNA from 1 species